rnacentral:rRNA from 1 species
AACGAACGCUGGCGGCAGGCCUAACACAUGCAAGUCGAGCGAGGACUUCGGUUCUAGCGGCGGACGGGUGAGUAACGCGUGGGAAUGUGCCCUUCUCUACGGAAUAGCCCUGGGAAACUGGGAGUAAUACCGUAUACGCCCUAUUGGGGAAAGAUUUAUCGGAGAAGGAUCAGCCCGCGUUGGAUUAGGUAGUUGGUGGGGUAAUGGCCUACCAAGCCGACGAUCCAUAGCUGGUUUGAGAGGAUGAUCAGCCACACUGGGACUGAGACACGGCCCAGACUCCUACGGGAGGCAGCAGUGGGGAAUCUUAGACAAUGGGGGCAACCCUGAUCGAGCCAUGCCGCGUGAGUGAUGAAGGCCUUAGGGUUGUAAAGCUCUUUCAGCUGGGAAGAUAAUGUCGGUACCAGCAGAAGAAGCCCCGGCUAACUCCGUG